rnacentral:rRNA from 1 species
CCGGAGGGUGCAAGCGUUAUCCGGAUUCACUGGGUUUAAAGGGUGCGUAGGUGGGUUGGUAAGUCAGUGGUGAAAUCUCCGUGCUUAACAUGGAAACUGCCAUUGAUACUACUGAUCUUGAAUUUUCUGGAGGUAAGCGGAAUAUGUCAUGUAGCGGUGAAAUGCUUAGAUAUGACAUAGAACACCAAUUGCGAAGGCAGCUUGCUACAGGGAUAUUGACACUGAGGCACGAAAGCGUGGGGAUCAAACAGGAUUAGAUACCCUGGUAGUCCACGCCCUAAACGAUGGAUACUCGACAUUUGCGAUACACAGUAAGUGUCUGAGCGAAAGCAUUAAGUAUCCCACCUGGGAAGUACGACCGCAAGGUUG